CAGGUGAGUUUUGGGGUCCCCCAGGUGAGUUUGGGAUUUCCCAGGUGCCCCCUCAGGUGAGUUUGGGACCUCUCAGGUGAAUUUUGGGGCCCCCCUAAACCCCCAAACCCCAAAACCACUCCCGGGGUCUCUCAGGGAUGAGUUUAAUGCAGCAGCAGCAGCGGCAGCGGCAGCCAGGUGAGUUCAGGUGUGCCCAGGUGUGCCCAGCUGUGCCCAGGUGUGCCCAGGUGUGCCCAGGUGAGUUCAGCAGUGCCCAGGUGUGCCCAGGUGUGCCCAGCUGUGCCCAGGUGACCCCAAAUUGG
rnacentral:lncRNA from 1 species